GAGUGGAAUCCAUUCCUCACGUACUCCUGCAGACAUCUGGGCCUGGAAUUUUUUUUUUUUUAAACACCACUUUUACUAUGUAUAAUAAAAUAUUUCAUUAGCUUGAAUUGUAUAGAUUUUUAAAAAUUCAAUAAGAGCAUGUUGUUUAAUUUCUUUUUAAAAUCACUGUUGGGCUUUGAAAGCAUUGCAAAUAUAUGACAUUGUGACAGUUUUGGCUAAUUUCCUCUUUAGCUUUUAGUCUUGGCAUCAGGAUUUUUAAGGAAAAUGAACUGAUAACAUUAAUUCUAUGUCUAGAUUUUUAAAACACGUACUUAAAUUUUGAUGAUUCUGAAGUAAAUACUAAAUAAGU
rnacentral:lncRNA from 1 species